rnacentral:rRNA from 1 species
AACGAACGCUGGCGGCAUGCCUAACACAUGCAAGUCGAACGAUGCCUUCGGGCAUAGUGGCGCACGGGUGCGUAACGCGUGGGAAUCUGCCCUUGGCUUCGGAAUAACAGUUAGAAAUGACUGCUAAUACCGGAUGAUGUCCCCCUGAGAGAUCUUGGGGACCAAAGAUUUAUCGGCCAGGGAUGAGCCCGCGUAGGAUUAGGUAGUUGGUGGGGUAAAGGCCUACCAAGCCGACGAUCCUUAGCUGGUCUGAGAGGAUGAUCAGCCACACUGGGACUGAGACACGGCCCAGACUCCUACGGGAGGCAGCAGUGGGGAAUAUUGGACAAUGGGGGGAACCCUGAUCAGCAAUGCCGCGUGAGUGAUGAAGGCCUUAGGGUUGUAAAGCUCUUUUACCAGGGAUGAUAAUGACAGUACCUGGAGAAUAAGCUCCGGCUAACUCCGUG